GUGCACGCUGGCGGUAGGCCUCACCCCUGCCAGUCGAACGGCAGCACAGUAAGAGCUUGCUCUUACGGGUGGCGAGUGGCGGACGGGUGAGGAAUACAUCGGAAUCUACUUUUUCGUGGGGGAUAACGUAGGGAAACUUACGCUAAUACCGCAUACGACCUACGGGUGAAAGCAGGGGAUCUUCGGACCUUGCGCGAUUGAAUGAGCCGAUGUCGGAUUAGCUAGUUGGCGGGGUAAAGGCCCACCAAGGCGACGAUCCGUAGCUGGUCUGAGAGGAUGAUCAGCCACACUGGAACUGAGACACGGUCCAGACUCCUACGGGAGGCAGCAGUGGGGAAUAUUGGACAAUGGGCGCAAGCCUGAUCCAGCCAUACCGCGUGGGUAAAGAAGGCCUUCGGGUUGUAAAGCCCUUUUGUUGGGAAAGAAAAGCAGCAGGUUAAUACCCCGCUGUUCUGACGGUACCCAAAGAAUAAGCACCGGCUAACUUCGUG
rnacentral:rRNA from 1 species